rnacentral:rRNA from 1 species
UACGUAGGGUGCGAGCGUUGUCCGGAAUUAUUGGGCGUAAAGGGCUCGUAGGCGGUCUGUCGCGUCGGGAGUGAAAACUCAGGGCUUAACCCUGAGCCUGCUUCCGAUACGGGCAGACUAGAGGUAUGCAGGGGAGAACGGAAUUCCUGGUGUAGCGGUGAAAUGCGCAGAUAUCAGGAGGAACAGCCGGUGGCGAAGGCGGUUCUCUGGGCAUUACCUGACGCUGAGGAGCGAAAGUGUGGGGAGCGAACAGG